rnacentral:lncRNA from 1 species
ACGGGGAGAAUUUUUUAAAACGUUUUUUAAAAUUUCUAAAAACAUAAAAACGCUGUACUUGAUUCACGUGUGAAUAAAACGAUGAUUUAAUUUAGCCGCUUUUAAUUGAAAUCAACCAAGAUAUGCUGCCCUCCCCUAACCCCGUGAAUCAAGCACACCACCCUAAAAUUUAACUAAAGUUAAAAAAUAUAUAAAUUAAUUUUUAGAACUUUAAGAGGGUGGACCCAAAACUCAGUUUUUGUUUAUUCCGCUAUUUUGAUUGAUGUUUUUGUAAAGCAGUAAACCUUAAAAACACAUAGAAGCUUUAAGAUGUUCAAGAGAUCAGAGCCGAAGAGCUCUUGCCAACGGAAGUAAUUGACAAGCUAAGUCAGGAAUUUUUUUGUUGUUGUUUUUUUUUUUUUUUGUGUGCAAAUACAGUUAUGCUUUUUUAGUUUUUUUAAAGUUAUUUAGCAACUGACUUUUGUC